rnacentral:rRNA from 1 species
UAACACGUGGGUAACCUGCCCGGAAGUGGGGAAUACCUCGGGGAAACUCGAGCUAAUGCCGCAUAACAUCUCCGGGACGAAAGUCCUGGUGAUCAAAGCGGGGUCGCAAGAUCUCGCGCUACCGGAUGGGCCCGCGCCCGAUUAGCUAGUUGGUGAGGUAAUGGCUCACCAAGGCAACGAUCGGUAGCCGGCCUGAGAGGGUGAUCGGCCACACCGGAACUGAGACACGGUCCGG